UACGAAAGGGGCUAGCGUUGUUCGGAUUUACUGGGCGUAAAGCGCACGUAGGCGGAUCGUUAAGUCAGGGGUGAAAUCCUGGAGCUCAACUCCAGAACUGCCUUUGAUACUGGCGAUCUUGAGUCCGGAAGAGGUGAGUGGAACUCCUAGUGUAGAGGUGGAAUUCGUAGAUAUUAGGAAGAACACCAGUGGCGAAGGCGGCUCACUGGUCCGGUACUGACGCUGAGGUGCGAAAGCGUGGGGAGCAAACAGG
rnacentral:rRNA from 1 species